GACGAACGCUGGCGGCGUGCCUAAUACAUGCAAGUCGAGCGAAGCGGCGGAUGGGUGAGUAACGCGUUGGUAACCUGCCCUUAAGUCUGGGAUACCAUUUGGAAACAGAUGCUAAUACCGCAUCCUACUGGAUGGACCUGCGAUGCAUUAGCUAGUUGGUAAGGUAACGGCUUACCAAGGCGAUGAUGCAUAGCCGAGGUGAGAGACUGAUCGGCCACACUGGAACUGAGACACGGCCCAGACUCCUACGGGAGGCAGCAGUAGGGAAUCUUCCACAAUGGACGAAAGUCUGAUGGAGCAACGCCGCGUGAGUGAAGAAGGUUUUCGGAUCGUAAAGCUCUGUUGUUGGUGAAUCGGUACCCAACCAGAAAGCCACGGCUAACUACGUGCCAGCAGCCGCGGUAAUAC
rnacentral:rRNA from 1 species